GACGAACGCUGGCGGCGUGCCUAAUACAUGCAAGUAGAACGCUGAAGGGAGGAGCUUGCUCUUCUUGGAUGAGUUGCGAACGGGUGAGUAACGCGUAGGUAACCUGCCUUGUAGCGGGGGAUAACUAUUGGAAACGAUAGCUAAUACCGCAUAACAAUGGAUGACCCAUGUCAUUUAUUUGAAAGGGGCAAAUGCUCCACUACAAGAUGGACCUGCGUUGUAUUAGCUAGUAGGUGAGGUAACGGCUCACCUAGGCGACGAUACAUAGCCGACCUGAGAGGGUGAUCGGCCACACUGGGACUGAGACACGGCCCAGACUCCUACGGGAGGCAGCAGUAGGGAAUCUUCGGCAAUGGGGGCAACCCUGACCGAGCAACGCCGCGUGAGUGAAGAAGGUUUUCGGAUCGUAAAGCUCUGUUGUAAGUCAAGAACGAGUGUGAGAGUGGAAAGUUCACACUGUGACGGUAGCUUACCAGAAAGGACGGCUAA
rnacentral:rRNA from 1 species